UGUCGUCAGCUCGUGUCGUGAGAUGUUGGGUUAAGUCCGUAACGAGCGCAACCCUUGUCCUUAGUUACCAGCACGUUAUGGUGGGCACUCUAAGGAGACUGCCGGUGACAAACCGGAGGAAGGUGGGGAGUGACGUCAAGUCAUCAUGGCCCUUACGGCCUGGGCUACACACGUGCUACAAUGGUCGGUACAAAGGGUUGCCAAGCCGCGAGGUGGAGCUAAUCCCAUAAAACCGAUCGUAGUCCGGAUCGCAGUCUGCAACUCGACUGCGUGAAGUCGGAAUCGCUAGUAAUCGUGAAUCAGAAUGUCACGGUGAAUACGUUCCCGGGCCUU
rnacentral:rRNA from 1 species